UCCCUGGAGGACUAGUGGUUAUGCCAUGGCCCUCUCACUGCCAUGGCCCGGGUUCAGUUCCUGCCCAGGGAA